GUGUUCACUUUGGCGGUACAUAUGCUGAUACAGAGAAGAGUAACAUAGCCUCCUUGAGCAGGGAUGACAUGGAAAUUUGUGAAGUGUUUCAUAUUUUA
rnacentral:snRNA from 1 species